rnacentral:lncRNA from 1 species
AUUGACUAACGCCAUGCAAUAGCUAUGCUCCCUUCGUUAUGGCCGAAUAUCGUUCGAGUCAUCUCCACGAAGUUUGGCGUUCCCACCAAGAGAAGCAAGCAUCCCCCAGUCUAUGAGGACAGUCCCCAUCAGACCCAGGCAACUACCUCUAGAACUUGCACCGUCUCAGCCGACAUAUGUCUCAGCCAUUCAUCCCUUCAGUACAGUAAGCUACAUUGGAUUUGGGACUCUUUUAGAGGACUCGUACUUCACGCAAAGCAUGCAGCGGACAUAUUCUUUAUCCCGAACAUGCAGGGACUGUGCGGUUGAGUGGCGAACUACAGACCAUUCAUUGGCGAGCAGUGAAUGCAACCAGGCUCUACCGACCAAUGGGCGAAUUUCUUCAAUUGAGAUCGUGUAUGGAUUACCCGGCGACGGUUUAUCCGAGCAUCACCGAUAUCAUAGGUCCUUUCUGUAUAAAAUCAGACGAGGUCCAAGACGAAUCAAUCUCGUGACGGUCUACUCUAGUUCACCCAAAAUAUUUAGGCUCGUCGCCGGGUGCAUUAACAUCUACAUAUGCCACAUCAGAGUGUA